AUGACAAAAACAUAUGUGGCAGGCAUUCAUUUCUUCUUUUCUGCAAAAUUUGUCUUUAACCCAAACAUAAAAAUUUAAGUCACAACAAACAAGAAAAGCUAGAAAUGCAAAACUGAUACUUUUCUUCUUAAUUAUUUCUCGCAGGUGCAGGAUACCACAUGGUCAUAGUGAAAGAACCAUAUUGUAAAGCUGGAGAAAUUGCCUGUCUUAUAUAUCAUUAUGUACCAAGUGCCAUUUUGGAGAACAAUAUUGGAGCUGAAUUAUCAUUUAUUUUACCUAAAGAGUACGUAAAUAGGUUUGAAACUUUGUUCGCUGAGCUGGAAAAUCAUGGAGUAAAGCUGGGCAUUGCCAGUUUUGGUGCUUCUAUCACAACCAUGGAAGAAGUCUUCCUUAAAUUUGUCAGUGAAUCAGCUACUGCCCCCCAUAUAACCCCUUGCUGGAACACUUAACAGGGUAUGAGAUGCUGGCCUUGCAUGCCUAUUUGAGAGGAGUUCCCAAGCAAUAUAUUCCUGCUUAUGUUAAAAACAUACUAAGAGCACUUCUCCUGGAUGCCUUUGCAGAUGAACUCAUCAAAAACUACAGGUAAGAGUAUGCCUUAUCUGCAUGGAUUUUCCC
rnacentral:lncRNA from 1 species